rnacentral:lncRNA from 1 species
AUGCACACACUCACUCACUCGCACGCACGCACACACAGACCCGCUUCUGCUGGGCGCGCGCGGGGCCGGGGAUGCGAGGGGGAGGAGGGGAGCGCGGCGCGGCCGGCCCCUCCCCGCCGCCGCCGCCGCCGCACGCGCGCCCUGCGCCCGGGACACUCCGGCCCCUUCUUCCUCCCUCCCUCCUCCCCGCCGCCCGCCUUCCUCCCUCCCACCCCCACGCGCCCGCUUUGGCAGCCUGGGCCUCUCUGCCCGCCCCUUUACCUCCUGCGGCUUCGCUCACUCCGGCUCGCUCCGGCCCCCCCUUACAACUCCCGCGCGCUUUUUAAGGAGGCGCCGCGGAGUUGGCGCCGGGGCGGGGGCCGGGGAAAGCGGCGGGCGGGGGAGGGGGAGGGGAGUGCCGGGGGGAGGGGAGAGGGGGCGGGCAGGGCGGGCGGGCGGCGCUCGGCCGCCCUCCAGCCAUUGGGCGCGGGACCCAGACGUCCCCGGCGCCCAGCCCCCCUCUCCACGCCUCCCCGGCGCGCUCCGCUCUCCGGACCGCACUUACCGGGAACUCGCCGCCCGCGGGCCGGGGCUGCCGCGCUCGCAGGGUGCUGCGGGGACCCUCUUGCUGCCGCCGCCCCCGCGUCCCUCAGGCGCGCCUGGCCCGGCGCUAAGGAUGCGGGGAGGGGGGCGCGCACCCUCUCCCCCUUCUACUCCCCCUGCCAGGGCCGCCCCCGCCGCCGCUCGGCCUUCUGGCGCGCCGGCCCCAGCGCCUCCCUAGAGCGCCCUCUCGGUCCCGGGCUGGACGCCGAGGGGGCGCGCUGCAGAUUUGGGGACCCCGAAUCUGGGGUCAGAGGGCAGUUUGACGCUCGUUUCUCCUGCGGGGCCGAAGGAGUGCCAGAAUUUCAGCUAAACCCUGUUUACAAGGACUUCAAGCCGGGACCUGAUCGGCUUGCACUCUGGGGUCCGAAAUUCCCUUUCCAACCCCCUGGGGGUGUGUGGGUGGGUGAUCGAAGUCGAGAACACCAGCGACACUUUUUUUUUUUAAACAAAACUUUAUUGGUAAUAGUUUUCAAAUAUGUUUACAACAGCACACUGUUCAAGAGGAAGUCUCGUCCUUCGCAGCACACAGGUUGA